CGGGGUCACGUGCCGGGCGCGCUCGCACGCCGCCGAGCACGUACAAAGAGACCGGUGGGGAGGUGGGGACGCCGGCGCGGGCGGGCGGUGCGAGGGCGCCCGUGCGAGUCCCCGAAGUCUUCUACGGACACAUGCCCCAGUUCCCCGAAGGACGAGUGAGGGAAAGCUCUGAGUGCGCUGUGGCAACCGCUGCAUUUAAGGUUGGCUUGCAGACAGGCCCGAGGCACAAGAAGGAGAAGGUGAAACCUACCCAUGGACCGCAGAUGUGAGAGCCAAAGCAGGACUGUGAACUGUCAAAAUUCUCUCUGACUUCUUACCGGGCCGGGGAGCAGGGAUCCUAGUGCCUGAGGUACCAGAUCUCGUCCCGCUCGACUCGCUUCCUUUUCAGCCCCAAGAACGCCUCUUCCCUGGAAACACAAUCUCUAAGGGGGUGGAGGCAACAAAGAAAAAUAACAAUUGGAUCAGACCAGAAUGAGGUUCAAUUCCUGUCUGGGGAACUGAGCAAACUCAUGAAACGCAUAGCCUGAAAGAUUUGACUAUGAAAUUGUGGACGCUAGAACCAGGUUAUUUUUAAGCCACGAAAACAUUUCUAGUUUAAGUGAUAGCCAUCUAAUCUGUUCCACUGUGAUUUAAGACUUUGCUCCUACACGCUACAGAAAUCACCAUCACUGAAAGCACGCUGUAUGUGAAAGCUCUUGAAAGUACGUUAAGAGAAAUAAAUAAAUAA